rnacentral:rRNA from 1 species
AUUGAACGCUGGCGGCAUGCCUUACACAUGCAAGUCGAACGGUAACGGGCCUUCGGGUGCCGACGAGUGGCGAACGGGUGAGUAAUACAUCGGAACGUGCCCGAUCGUGGGGGAUAACGAGGCGAAAGCUUUGCUAAUACCGCAUACGAUCUACGGCUGAAAGCAGGGGACCGCAAGGCCUUGCGCGGACGGAGCGGCCGAUGGCGGAUUAGGUAGUUGGUGGGAUAAAAGCUUACCAAGCCGACGAUCUGUAGCUGGUCUGAGAGGAUGAUCAGCCACACUGGGACUGAGACACGGCCCAGACUCCUACGGGAGGCAGCAGUGGGGAAUUUUGGACAAUGGGCGCAAGCCUGAUCCAGCCAUGCCGCGUGCAGGAUGAAGGCCUUCGGGUUGUAAACUGCUUUUGUACGGAACGAAAAGCCUUCGUUUAAUACAGGAGGGUCAUGACGGUACCGUAAGAAUAAGCACCGGCUAACUACGUG